AUGGUCUUAGCUUGCUAAGGCUGAUGGCGACCGGCGCACGGGUGAGUAACACGUAUCCAACCUGCCGUCUACUCUUGGCCAGCCUUCUGAAAGGAAGAUUAAUCCGGGAUGGGAUCAUGAGUUCACAUGUCCGCAUGAUUAAAGGUAUUUUCCGUGUAAACGAUGGGGAUGCGUUCCAUUAAGAUAGUAGGCGGGGUAACGGCCCACCUAGUCAACGAUGGAUAGGGGUUCUGAGAGGAAGGUCCCCCACAUUGGAACUGAGACACGGUCCAAACUCCUACGGGAGGCAGCAGUGAGGAAUAUUGGUCAAUGGGCGAUGGCCUGAACCAGCCAAGUAGCGUGAAGGAUGACUGCCCUAUGGGUUGUAAACUUCUUUUAUAAAGGAAUAAAGUCGGGUAUGCAUACCCGUUUGCAUGUACUUUAUGAAUAAGGAUCGGCUAACUCCGUGCCAGCAGCCGCGGUAAUACGGAGGAUCCGAGCGUUAUCCGGAUUUAUUGGGUUUAAAGGGAGCGUAGAUGGAUGUUUAAGUCAGUUGUGAAAGUUUGCGGCUCAACCGUAAAAUUGCAGUUGAUACUGGAUGUCUUGAGUGCAGUUGAGGCAGGCGGAAUUCGUGGUGUAGCGGUGAAAUGCUUAGAUAUCACGAAGAACUCCGAUUGCGAAGGCAGCCUGCUAAGCUGCAA
rnacentral:rRNA from 1 species